rnacentral:rRNA from 1 species
UACGUAGGGUGCAGGCGUUAAUCGGAAUUACUGGGCGUAAAGCGCACGUAGGCGGCGAUUCAAGUCAGAGGUGAAAGCCCGGGGCUCAACCCCGGAACUGCCUUUGAAACUAGAUUGCUAGAAUCCUGGAGAGGUGAGUGGAAUUCCGAGUGUAGAGGUGAAAUUCGUAGAUAUUCGGAAGAACACCAGUGGCGAAGCCGACUCACUGGACAGGUAUUGACGCUGAGGUGCGAAAGCGUGGGGAGCAAACGGG